rnacentral:misc_RNA from 1 species
GCAAACUUGGUCAUUUAGAGGAAGUAAAAGUCGUAACAAGGUUUCCGUAGGUGAACCUGCGGAAGGAUCAUUACCAAUCUUUAGCGGGCCUUGGCUUGUUCAUGGUCUCGCGAAACUUGUAUUUAAAACCUACUCAUAUAAAAUAAUACUUAUAUCUGAUAUAAAUAAAAGAUCACUUUCAACAACGGAUCUCUUAGCUCUCUAUAAGAGACAGGCAAACUUGGUCAUUUAGAGGAAGUAAAAGUCGUAACAAGGUUUCCGUAGGUGAACCUGCGGAAGGAUCAUUACCAAUCUUUAGCGGGCCUUGGCUUGUUCAUGGUCUCGCGAAACUUGUAUUUAAAACCUACUCAUAUAAAAUAAUACUUAUAUCUGAUAUAAAUAAAAGAUCACUUUCAACAACGGAUCUCUUGGCUCUCGCAUCGAUGAAGAACGCAGC